rnacentral:rRNA from 1 species
AAGGAAUAUUGGUCAAUGGAGGAAACUCUGAACCAGCCAUCCCGCGUGUAGGAAGAAGGCCCUCUGGGUUGUAAACUACUUUUAUCUGGGAAGAAAAGCCUGUAUUUAUGCGGGUCUGACGGUACCAGAGGAAUAAGCACCGGCUAACUCCGUGCCAGCAGCCGCGGUAAUACGGAGGGUGCAAGCGUUAUCCGGAAUUACUGGGUUUAAAGGGUGCGUAGGCGGCGCUGUAAGUCAGGGGUGAAAGGUUCCGGCUCAACCGGAGAAUUGCCUUUGAUACUGCAGUGCUAGGAUUGGGUUGAGGUUGGCGGAAUGUGACAUGUAGCGGUGAAAUGCAUAGAUAUGUCAUAGAACACCGAUUGCGAAGGCAGCCAACUGGACCUUGAUUGACGCUGAGGCACGAAAGCGUGGGGAGCAAAC